rnacentral:rRNA from 1 species
ACCCCGCGGACUGGAUAGCCUGCCGAAAGGCGGAGUAAUACUGGAUGCGAUCCUGCGUUGCAUGAUGCCGGGAGGAAAGGUUCGAGCAAUCGAGCCACCGCAGGAUGGGCUCGCGGCCUAUCAGCUAGUUGGUGGGGUAACGGCCCACCAAGGCGACGACGGGUAGCCGGCCUGAGAGGGCGGCCGGCCACACUGGGACUGAGACACGGCCCAGACUCCUACGGGGGGCAGCAGUUGGGAAUCUUGCGCAAUGGGCGAAAGCCUGACGCAGCGACGCCGCGUGGGUGAUGAAGGCCUUCGGGUCGUAAAACCCUGUUGGGAGGAAAGAAUCAGACGGUACCUCCUGAGGAAGCCCCGGCCAACUCCGUGCCAGCAGCCGCGGUAAGACGGAGGGGGCGAGCGUUGUCCGGAAUCACUGGGCGUAAAGAGCGUGUAGGCGGCCUUGCAAGUCGGUGGUGAAAGCCCCGGGCUCAACUCGGGGAGGUCCGCCGAAACUGCUUGGCUUGAGUGCUGGAGAGGGAAGUGGAACGACCGGUGUAGCGGUGAAAUGCGUAGAUAUCGGUCGGAACACCCGUGGCGAAGGCGGCUUCCUGGACAGCAACUGACGCUGAGACGCGAAAGCCAGGGGAGCGAACGGGAUUAGAUACCCCGGUAGUCCUGGCUGUAAACGGUGGUCACUAGGUGUCGCGGGUAUCGACCCCUGCGGUGCCGGAGUCAACGCAUUAAGU